GCAUUUUCUGACGCCAGUACGACUUGCAGAAUUGACUCCUUUUUAUCCCAUACCAUUAACAAGGGUGGCGAAUUGAGAUAUCUAGUUGUGAAACUGCUACGGGGGUAGCUUUUGUAGUGGUUCACUGGCACUUAUCGAAGCCAUUUCAGUUUUCUGUAGCUGACGUGGUCAAAAAGGAGCCAAUAGCAACACUUUUCACGACGGUCGCUGCUCCGUUUCAAUAAGUAACGGAGAAGCAACAUUACGGGAAAGGACAAACUGCAGACUCGAGUGUCUGUAAAGGCCUGGUCAGCUGAACAAAGUCCUGGAGUGGAUUGAAAAGGCCAGAAGUGGCAUUCAAACCCUCUGCCCAGGCUUGCACAGACUUCAUUAUGUUGCACUUCCUGAUCUGAGCAUCACUGCUGUUUAAAGAGAACCACAGAUACCACAGGACUGUGUCCUGGACAAUGGUUUGGCCUGAGUUUUCAUGGCAGCAGUACCUCUUAAACGGUGCAGCAAGGCAGGAAUGAAGUGAAGUUGGGCCUGUUUUGUGCUUGGCUGUCCAAAGAAACUGUGAUGAAGGUGCAAUCCAGACCAGCUAUAUGAGCAGCCUCUUCUGAGUGUGUGAAGAGGACCUGUGAUUCUGAUUUGAGUCUGGAGUGCCAUCUUGACUGCUACUGAAGCAUGAUCCUUACGGUGUUUCUGCCCAAUCUACAAGAAGCAUUAGUGUGAGGUGAGACCCAGCGGAGUUUGUUUUCUGAGGCUUGCUGGAGAAGCUGUUCUACAGUCAAACGUGGAGCCAGAAGGAUAAGGAUGAAAGCUUGUGAGCUGGAAGAAGAUCCCCACCAUGCUUCAUGCAGACUGGGAAUAAAAUACUGCCCCCCCUGCCAUGGGGUUGACUUAUUAUUUUAAUAAAGUACAUUUUGACUUGC